rnacentral:rRNA from 1 species
UAGGGAAUAUUGGACAAUGGGUGAGAGCCUGAUCCAGCCAUGCCGCGUGCAGGAAGAAGGCGUUAUGCGUUGUAAACUGCUUUUUGCCAGGGGAUAAAAAGACCGUGCGCGGUUAAUUGAAGGUACCUGGUGAAUAAGCCACGGCUAACUACGUGCCAGCAGCCGCGGUAAUACGUAGGUGGCAAGCGUUGUCCGGAUUUAUUGGGUUUAAAGGGUGCGUAGGUGGCCCUGUAAGUCAGUGGUGAAAUAUCUCAGCUUAACUGAGAGGGUGCCAUUGAUACUGCAGGGCUUGAGUACAGAUGAGGUAGGCGGAAUUGACGGUGUAGCGGUGAAAUGCAUAGAUAUCGUCAAGAACACCGAUAGCGAAGGCAGCUUACCAAGCUGUAACUGACACUGAGGCACGAAAGUGUGGGGAU